GGCCGGUUAGCUCAGUUGGUUAGAGCGUGGUGCUAAUAACGCCAAGGUCGCGGGUUCGAUCCCCACGUCACGGGCCA
rnacentral:tRNA from 1 species